rnacentral:rRNA from 1 species
AUUGAACGCUGGCGGAAUGCUUUACACAUGCAAGUCGAACGGCAGCACGGGGCAACCUGGUGGCGAGUGGCGAACGGGUGAGUAAUAUAUCGGAACGUGCCCAAUCGUGGGGGAUAACGUAGCGAAAGUUACGCUAAUACCGCAUACGAUCUACGGAUGAAAGCGGGGGAUCGCAAGACCUCGCGCGAAUGGAGCGGCCGAUAUCAGAUUAGGUAGUUGGUGGGGUAAAGGCUCACCAAGCCAACGAUCUGUAGCUGGUCUGAGAGGACGACCAGCCACACUGGAACUGAGACACGGUCCAGACUCCUACGGGAGGCAGCAGUGGGGAAUUUUGGACAAUGGGCGCAAGCCUGAUCCAGCCAUGCCGCGUGAGUGAAGAAGGCCUGG